ACACACACACACACACACACACACACACACACACACACACACAUAAAGAUAACACAUCAAGUGUUUCACUCUUAGUUAAAUGAUUUAUAAAAGUCAAAUCACAAAAUAAAUGCAGGCUAUAAACAAUUGAACACAUGCCUGCAUUGCAACAUAUAUCAAGUAAAUUGCAAAACAACUGCAACUGCAUUGCUACAAUCCCAAACCACUACUUGUAAUGGCAGCCAGCUCUGGACACUAUUGGAGUGAUGCAAGGCAGUCCAUGAAGCUGAUUGCUUCUCUCUGCAAGUGAAGACACGCAAGGUGUGGCCCUUAGUGUGGGUGGGACCUUGGACAUGCUGCGUGAUGUUAAAGCACUCCAAUAGUGACAGAAACUCAGCGGCAAAGGUGCAGGUUCUGGAGUCCACGUGGAUGUUAAAAUCACCUAGCAGUAGUGUGGAUGGGGACAUGGAGCAGAUUGAGGUGAGAAGCUCAGACAACUCAGACAUGAAUGACGUGGAAGGUUUGGGGGAAGGUAAAUGAGGACGACCUGCUGCUUUGAGGGGGCAGCCACUGAGAAGGCAAUGCACUCAAGUGACAUUUUAUUCUCACAAGCAGCUGUUUGACAGGGAUAUCUGCUCUGUGGAUGACUGCCAGCCCACCACCAAGACCAAUGGAGCGGGGCUGUUGGAGAUAAGCAUAACCUGGGGGGGUGGCUAGGUUGAGUGUGAGGAAGUCCUGUUGGUUUUGCCAUGUCUCAGUGAGGCAGAGAAAAUCCAAUUUCCUAUCAAUGAUGAUUUCAUUAAUAAGUGAUGCUUUGUUGUUAAGGGAACGGGUAUUUAACAACAUGAAUGUGUGAGAGUUGUUAUAUGUUGCAAUGGCUGGUAAAACAGUGAUACCAUCAACACAGGCCAAGGGCUUCAGGUUAACACUGCACACGUGUGGUUUGUUGUGAUGACGUAAGUGGGCGGUGACGGGGCGCCGGGACCACACAGUUGGGAUAGUGUCAGCUGAGCCGGUGUAAACAAACCCACGUUUGGAACCUCUGUGGACAUACCUGGGUCUGCCAACUCGUAACAGCCCGAGGCCAAACCAGCGAAGCGAGGCUCGGCCAACGUGUCGUUUGCGGAUCUGUGGCAGAUCGGCCAGCCGCCCAACACCACCAAGUCCUAGAAGCAUCUGAGCUAAUUAACAACUGCAGAGUGUAAAUAAUAUAUUUUAUUUAAUCAACUAGGGUAGGCGAUGUGUUGUAGUACUAUUGUCUGGAAUAAAGAACAGCAUUUCCUCUCGCAGGAAAAUGUACUUUGAGAAAACCA